rnacentral:rRNA from 1 species
AUUGAACGCUGGCGGCAUGCCUUACACAUGCAAGUCGAACGGCAGCACGGGUGCUUGCACCUGGUGGCGAGUGGCGAACGGGUGAGUAAUACAUCGGAACAUGUCCUGUAGUGGGGGAUAGCCCGGCGGAAGCCGGAUUAAUACCGCAUACGAUCUACGGAUGAAAGCGGGGGACCUUCGGGCCUCGCGCUAUCGGGUUGGCCGAUGGCUGAUUAGCUAGUUGGUGGGGUAAAGGCCUACCAAGGCGACGAUCAGUAGCUGGUCUGAGAGGACGACCAGCCACACUGGGACUGAGACACGGCCCAGACUCCUACGGGAGGCAGCAGUGGGGAAUUUUGGACAAUGGGCGAAAGCCUGAUCCAGCAAUGCCGCGUGUGUGAAGAAGGCCUUCGGGUUGUAAAGCACUUUUGUCCGGAAAGAAAUCCUUGGCCCUAAUACGGUCGGGGGAUGACGGUACCGGAAGAAUAAGCACCGGCUAACUACGUG